CUGACUCAUACGGAUGUGGACUCAGUGCAGCUAAGUUUUUUUCAAUUACAUUGAUCUUCUUAAAGAAGCAGUUUCUUUGGCUGGGCACCGUGGCUCACACCUGUAAUCCCAGCACUUUGGGAGCCAAGGUAGGCGGAUCACAAGGUCGUAUUCUCCAAGAUAAGACACCAAUCACCAUCUAUGUAAUUUACAUCGUAAAAUUUUGUGAAAGAUGGUCUGCAUGAAUUCUUAUUGUUUCUCAGCAGAAAGUUGAAGUAAUCAGAAUUUUCUUUUUUUCUUAGUCUUUCUUGUAUUAAGGGACUAUAUUUUGUUAACUUUAAAUAUAAAUGCUCUCAUUUUGUUUGAAAAUGAAAAUUAAAGAAAUCACUAG
rnacentral:lncRNA from 1 species